UGAGUAACACGUAUCCAACCUGCCGAUAACUCGGGGAUAGCCUUUCGAAAGAAAGAUUAAUACCCGAUGGCAUAAUAGAACCGCAUGGUUUGAUUAUUAAAGAAUUUCGGUUAUCGAUGGGGAUGCGUUCCAUUAGGCAGUUGGUGGGGUAACGGCCCACCAAACCUUCGAUGGAUAGGGGUUCUGAGAGGAAGGUCCCCCACAUUGGAACUGAGACACGGUCCAAACUCCUACGGGAGGCAGCAGUGAGGAAUAUUGGUCAAUGGACGAGAGUCUGAACCAGCCAAGUAGCGUGAAGGAUGACUGCCCUAUGGGUUGUAAACUUCUUUUAUAUGGGAAUAAAGUGGUCCACGUGUGGAUUUUUGUAUGU
rnacentral:rRNA from 1 species